rnacentral:rRNA from 1 species
UACGUAGGGCGCAAGCGUUGUCCGGAAUUAUUGGGCGUAAAGAGCUCGUAGGCGGCUUGUCACGUCGGGUGUGAAAGCCCGGGGCUUAACCCCGGGUCUGCAUUCGAUACGGGCUAGCUAGAGUGUGGUAGGGGAGAUCGGAAUUCCUGGUGUAGCGGUGAAAUGCGCAGAUAUCAGGAGGAACACCGGUGGCGAAGGCGGAUCUCUGGGCCAUUACUGACGCUGAGGAGCGAAAGCGUGGGGAGCGAAUGGG